AGUGAACGCUGGCGGUAGGCCUAACACAUGCAAGUCGAACGGCAGCACAGUAAGAGCUUGCUCUUACGGGUGGCGAGUGGCGGACGGGUGAGGAAUACAUCGGAAUCUACUUUUUCGUGGGGGAUAACGUAGGGAGACUUACGCUAAUACCGCAUACGACCUACGGGUGAAAGCAGGGGAUCUUCGGACCUUGCGCGAUUGAAUGGGCCGAUGUCGGAUUAGCUAGUUGGCGGGGUAAAGGCCCACCAAGGCGACGAUCCGUAGCUGGUCUGAGAGGAUGAUCAGCCACACUGGAGCUGAGACACGGUCCAGACUCCUACGGGAGGCAGCAGUGUGGAAUAUUGGGCAAUGGGCGCAAGCCUUAUCCAGCCAUACCGCGUGGGUGAAGAAGGCCUUCGGGUUGUAAAGCCCUUUUGUUGGGAAAGAAAAGCAGCAGGUUAAUACCCCGCUGUUCUGACGGUACCCAAAGAAUAAGCACCGGCUAACUUCGUG
rnacentral:rRNA from 1 species